AUUGAACGCUGGCGGCAGGCCUAACACAUGCAAGUCGAGCGAGCGGCGGACGGGUGAGUAAUGUCUGGGAAACUGCCUGAUGGAGGGGGAUAACUACUGGAAACGGUAGCUAAUACCGCAUCCAAUCAGAUGUGCCCAGAUGGGAUUAGCUAGUAGGUGGGGUAACGGCUCACCUAGGCGACGAUCCCUAGCUGGUCUGAGAGGAUGACCAGCCACCCUGGAUCUGAGACACGGUCCAAACGCCUACGGGAGGCCGCGUCGGGGAUUAUUGCACAAUGGGCGCAAUCCUGAUGCAGCCAUGCCGCGUGUGUGAAGGAGGCCUUCGGGUUGUAAAGCACUGUCAGCGGGGAGGUGUUACCCGCAGAAGAAGCACCGGCUAACUCCGUGCCAGCGGCAGCGUUAAUAG
rnacentral:rRNA from 1 species